GUUGCGCCCGAAGCCUUCGGGCCGAGGGCACGCCUGCCUGGGCGUCACAC
rnacentral:rRNA from 1 species